rnacentral:rRNA from 1 species
GACGAACGCUGGCGGCGUGCUUAACGCAUGCAAGUCGAACGGAAAGGCCCUGCUUUUGUGGGGUGCUCGAGUGGCGAACGGGUGAGUAACACGUGAGUACCUGCCCUUGACUUUGGGAUAACUUCAGGAAACUGGGGCUAAUACCGGAUAGGAGCUCCUGCUGCAUGGUGGGGGUUGGAAAGUUUCGGCGGUUGGGGAUGGACUCGCGGCUUAUCAGCUUGUUGGUGGGGUAGUGGCUUACCAAGGCUUUGACGGGUAGCCGGCCUGAGAGGGUGACCGGCCACAUUGGGACUGAGAUACGGCCCAGACUCCUACGGGAGGCAGCAGUGGGGAAUAUUGCACAAUGGGCGGAAGCCUGAUGCAGCAACGCCGCGUGCGGGAUGACGGCCUUCGGGUUGUAAACCGCUUUCGCCUGUGACGAAGCGUGAGUGACGGUAAUGGGUAAAGAAGCACCGGCUAACUACGUG